GGAAACUGGAUGUUCUCCUAAAACAGCCACCUAGCCAAGCUGAACCAACAGAGAUGUAUUGAUCACCGGGUCAAUGGAACUAGGUGGGUGCUGGGGGGAAAGUCAGCAGGUAAGUCAGGUGAGGACUGCCUCCCUUCCACUCCCCACCCAGAGACUGAAGACAGACAGACAGACAGAGGCGUUCAUUCAGAAAGAAGUAGGAGGGCUUCAGGGAUUCAGCGGAGGAGACUGAAAGCCUGAGAGACGAUGCCUCUGAGAAGGUUACAGGAACCUGACAAGACUGACUAGCCAUCUCUAGCAUUCAGAUAGGUGGAACUUCAUUGUGCUGAAGUUAUGUUUGAGCACCCUCUGCUGGACAAAUCAGGUAAGUACAGGAUUUUUUUUUUUUUUUUUGGUCUUGUGCCUUUUAAAUUCAUGCUCCGAAGAAGAGAAGAUUUUUAUCUCGAAUCUACACUAAAAGAAGUCUCCUCUUUAAACAGAUGCUCUAUGACUACCAACAAUGUACCAGUGGUAUUCGUCUCUUGCAGAUCUGGAAGAAAAUGAAAUUUAGGUACAUACAGUCACGAACAGAUACCUAGAUGACACAUUUAAAACCCUCAAACACAGUGGAGAUGAGACCAGCAUAAUAUUAAGCUCUUCUCCCUCACAAACACCUGUGCUACCCACACUCACAGGCAAAAAAAAUAUACACAACUGCCAGACUGCAAUGCCUCCCAAUUUAUUGGCCAAAUCUAGAUUCUGCUAGCCCUGUAUAUUCACUCAGAAAGCCAGGCUUCAGACACACCAUGAGUGAUGAGAAAUCCAUUUCAUCAGCAGAGGCAUCUUGCCUAUCUUCAGGAAGCCUACAGACUUCCAGGGAAGCAGGGGGGAAAUCAAGACGUGUCUGACUAUGAGCUGGGGUAAGGGAAGCCUCCGUGUGAAGAUGUGACCUAGUUAGGACAGCUGCCGGAAAGCAGGACUGGCAAGCUUGGUGGUUUGUACACCGGGCCUUGGGAGACUUGGGACACAAACACGAGGUCUUCUGAGGAUGUUUGUGAGUUGCUGGGUUACACAAAAAGAUUCUAGCUCAACAAGCAAAGAAGCGAAGGGGAGGGAAGGGGAGGAAAGGGAGGAGAAGAAAGGAAGUGGGAAGAGAAAAUGGGGCCAAGAAAAGCCCCAAACAUCCCAUAAGCACCCAGAACAGUGUCCCCACCGCGAACCAACCGGGAACCAAAGUGUUCACACCAGAUGAGCUCGUGGAAGGGCUUUUUGCCAAUUGUUCAUGGGUCCCCAGUGAUGAUGGAAUAUUGCGACUUACGUUUCAACCGUUUAAAAAUUUACUGUUAUUAUUUAUGCAUUUCAGUGUUUUGUCUGUUACACGCUCUGUAACUCCAGUUGCAGAAAAUGUAAAACUUUUCUGCCCCCUCCCCCUCCGGCAACCGGGCACAGACAUUUACGGGAGGCUGUGGCUACUUUAGGAGAUGUGAGCGAGCAGUCUCCUUCCUGCUGCUGCAGCUGCAAGCUGCUCCUGCCGCCCAUGCCUUCUCUACUGCCAUGCCUUCCCUACCACAAGGGCCAGAACUCUCACACUGAAAGCCAGAAUAAAUCCUUCCUCUCUUCGGUUGGUUGUUGUCAGGAGAAGGCAGCAGCUGGCAUCAAUGGUGUGGUGAGGAGAGAAUCAAGUUUCCUUCUCCAGUUCAAACAGACGAAAGUGAAGCGACAUAGGCUCAAGGACAGGGUCACUGGGCUAGCGCCACACCAUGGAGCCAAACCCCGAGCCUUCUAAAUUGUGAGCUGGGCAUGGUGGUUCACCCCAGGAAUCGCAGCACUGAGGGAUGAAGGCGAGAGAGUCACUGUGGGUGUGACAUCAGUCUGGCCUGAAGUCUGAGACUGUUUUUUUAAAAAGAAAACAUUUUUUUAUGUCAUAUAUUUAAUUAUAUAAAGAUUCUGUUGUUUUGUUGUUGUUGUUGUUAAAAUUCAGCCAGGAAAUUUCCAUCUGUCUGGUGUUAAUUGGUUGUUUUUCAGCACUAAUUGGGAAAUGAUAUAUUUUUAUUGUUUUAUAAAUAGAGUAAAACCCCUCAGAAACUGCUGGGGAAAUUUAAACAAGGAAAGCAAUUCUAUGUCCUUGCUUGACACCAGUUUGUCCCAGAGGUGACACAACUGUGUAGUUUUUGAAAACACUGGGCAUUUAUAUAUAUAUGAGACAAAACCCCACUGUAUAGCCCUGGCUAACUCGAAACUCACUAUGUAAAUCAGGCUGGGCUUUGACACACAGAGCUCUGCCUUUGCCUACUCAGUGUUGGGAUUUAACACCCACACCACCAUAGCCAGCCUUCUCUCCAAGGGGCAAAUUUCUUUCUGAAGCAACUUCCUCAUUUAUUAACAGUAUUGCUUCCAGACCCCGUGUGUGUGUGUGUGUGUGUGUGUGUGUGUGUGUGUGUGUGUACAGAUAUGUGUUUGCAAGUAUUUAGACACAAGUUGAUGCAGACUACACCAGUUUCAUGAAAUUGUUCCCAUGUCAGUGGCUAGUCUGAGCCUUUUGUACUUGUAAACAGCUGGCUGUAAACUGGGGAUUCCCAUACUCUCCUCUUCAGCCCCAUAAUUAUCAUGGUGAUUUGCAACCUGUAGGUAAUGACCCGUUUGGCUCAUAUAUCAGAUAUUCUGCAUGUCAGAUAUUUAUAUUUUGAUUCAUAACAAUAGUAAAAUUAUAGUUAUGAAGUAGUAAUGUAAAUAGUUACACUGUGGGGGUCACCACAACACGAGGAACUGUGUUAAAUGGCUUCAGCAAUAGGAAGGUUGAGAGCCACUGAUUUAUUAGGUCAUUUCAUGGAUCGUGGGGAUGCUUUCUACUUUCAUCUAUUGUUUAUUACAAAAGAUGUAGACAGACAGAUAGAUAGACAGACUCACAGAUAAAUAGAAAAAUAGAUGACAGAAAGAUAGAAAGUUAGGUAAAAAGAUAAAAAGAUAGGUAGAUGCUAGAAAGAUAGAUAGACUCAAAGACAAAUAGAAAGAUAGAUAAUAGAGAAAGGUGGAAAGAAAAAUAGAUAGAUGAUGGAAAGAUAGGUAGAUAGACUGACAGAAUGA
rnacentral:lncRNA from 1 species